AACGGGGUAGCCGAAAACCGUAUCCAAGAGUAGGCA
rfam:Chryseobacterium sp. MOF25P AB670_contig000001, whole genome shotgun sequence.